GGCACUCAGGCUGUCCCUUUCCAAUCUGCCCCAUCGUCCCGAGUUCCCGAUUCCCACGGGAAGAGCUCGUUGCCAUGGCUACGCGCCCCCCUUCCACCCCAGGGCCGCAGCGCUCUGGCCCACCUGCCUCCAUGUUCUCUGGGCUCUCGGAGGGAGGGAGACGUUAAUUAAGGACAUAAGGGCCAAGUGCCGCUCCCUGGGUGUUGGACAGAAAUGAAGUCACUGUGAGGGGAGGAAAGAGGAGCGUGUCCUCCACUGAAGUGGCCCUGAGUAAUGGCUGUAACAAUUUUGAACCACCACAUCCUCAAGCAGAAACAUCCAGAAUCCUAGUUCUAAUUCAAUCAUUGAUGAGAAGAAUAGACUUAAUGCAAAAUGAAUAAUGGAUCCCUGUCUGGAUCUGGAGACAGAGCCUUCUUGCUUCACAAUAAUUGUCCUGAUGUUUGAACAAAAUCAGGGUCUGAUAAGAAGGAAGAAGGGAGGCUGGGACAGUGGGAUGGUCUACUCCAAGAGCUGUCCCAAGGCACAUACAAGAUUUAUAACUGAUAACACUGAAAGACACCAGAGGAAUUCAUUCAUGGUUCCGGGAGGGAAGCAAUUCAAAGCUGAAAGGCUGUGCCAAGCCAAACUAGGAAUCAAGUUCAUUCUGGGUAGGAAUCAAUCAGAAAGUUUAACUUACUUAAAUGUUUUGAAAAAUAAGAAAGUAUUGGGGGAUGUAUUCCGUCAGAGUGAAACAGAAAUUCAAGAAAGAGAACUACCUUAGAUCCAGCAAGAGUGAGCUGAACCAAGGAGUGCAAUGAAAAUAAAUCUGAGCUGAAAGUUCUGCAGCAGGUCUAGAAAACAACAGGCCAGAAUUAAAAUAAGCCUCAAAGGACUCCAUCACAUAUGCAUUCAAAAUGCAAGUGGAUGUUGUCAUGUAAUUCUAUGAAUAGGAACCUCAAAAUUAUGGAUCAAUUGAAAGUAUAUAUUCUGUCAACAAUAACAAAAAUGGCUAGAAAUUUCAGAGAAAAUAAGUAACUUCAAUGUCAUAUCACAAGUAGGAAACAGAAUCAAAAGUGACAUGGCAUUGAGCAACUGUUCAUAUGAAGAAUGCAUUUUGGCUAUGAGGUUUAUUAAGUUUUCUGUCCAGUGGUUCAGGGUAGUAGAAUAAGAUUUUAUUUGUUUUGCUAAGGAUCUACUCAUACCUUUUCUGGUUUAAUCAGUACAUGAUAUUUAUAUCAUUGUAAUUUCACAAAUGCUAUGAAUUUUGAUGUGCUACUUUAUAAUCCAACUAUUUAUAAAUUUGAGAAGAUUAAUUAUGGUCAUACGGAAAAUGUCAAGGUUACAAGUAUUGAAGAUUUAAUAGUAAUAUUACAGCUGAUAAGAGUUGAGGAGGGUGAAGAAAAAAG